rnacentral:rRNA from 1 species
CGCAGCGACGCCGCGUGGGGGGAUGACGGCCUUCGAGUGUAACCUUCUUUCAGCAGGACGAAGCCGCGAGGUGACGGUACCGGCAGAAGAAGCACCGGCCAACUACGUGCCAGCAGCCGCGGUAAUACGUAGGGUGCAAAGCGUUGUCCGGAAUUAUUGGGCGUAAAGAGCUCGUAGGCGGUUCGUCGCGUCGGCUGUGAAAUCCCGAGGCUCAACCUCGGGUCUGCAGUCGAUACGGGCGGACUGGAGUUCGGCAGGGGAGACUGGAAUUCCUGGUGUAGCGGUGAAAUGCGCAGAUAUCAGGAGGAACACCGGUGGCGAAGGCGGGUCUCUGGGCCGAUACUGACGCUGAGGAGCGAAAGCGUGGGGAGCGAACAGGAUUAGAUACCCUGGUAGUCCACGCCGUAAACGUUGGGCGCUAGGUGUGGGGGCCAUUCCACGGUCUCCGUGCCGCAGCUAACGCAUUAAGCGCCCCGCCUGGGGAGUACGGCCGCAAGGCUAAAACUCAAAGGAAUUGACGGGGGCCCGCACAAGCGGCGGAGCAUGUUGCUUAAUUCGAUGCAACGCGAAGAACCUUACCUAGGCUUGACAUGCACGGAAAUCUCGCAGAGAUGCGGGGUGCCUUUGGCGUCGUGCACAGGUGGUGCAUGGUUGUCGUCAGCUCGUGUCGUGAGAUGUUGGGUUAAGUCCCGCAACGAGCGCAACCCUCGUUCCAUGUUGCCAGCACGUGAUGGUGGGGACUCAUGGGAGACUGCCGGGGUCAACUCGGAGGAAGGUGGGGAUGACGUCAAAUCAUCAUGCCCCUUAUGUCUAGGGCUGCAAACAUGCUACAAUGGCCGGUACAAAGGGCUGCGAUACCGCGAGGUGGAGCGAAUCCCAAAAAGCCGGUCUCAGUUCGGGUUGGG